GAUUUGUCCAGUGGAACGUCUCAGUUUGCCAAAAGCGUUAAAUAAGACGUAAUUGUUGUUGAAUUGAAAACGGGAAUUACUUUUACACACUGGCCCUGCUCUCUCACUUUUAGAGGAAAGUGGGCUCAAGAUGUAGGUUUAAUUACUUUUUUUUUUAUUUUUUUUUAUUCAAUCAUACAAAUAUACAAACAAACAAGGCAGUAGGAAAAAAAACAAAACCAAUUUCAAAAGAUAAACUUUUGCCUCGGAUCGAACAGACAAAAAAACAAAUACAUAGCGAAGUAACAUCCAGAAGAGGAAGAAAAACUAAAUAAAUAAAUAAAAAUAAAUAAAAAAAAUAAAUAACGGAGGAGGCUAUCUCAAAUUAAAUUAAGAGUUUCAAGCAAAUGAAUCAAAUCAAGGGCUUUGACUUAACCAGUUCAGGACUUAUAUAUAUAUAUAUAUAUAUAUAUAGAUAUAUAUUAUAUAUAUAUAAAGGGUCUAGCGCAUCUUCCAAACUUGGACGGGGGGUUGAUCUAAAAUAUCGACAUUUAUGAAUGGAAAGUUUUGUCGGUACAUUACUAACUCGCUCUUCCAGGUGCUUCGGAGCGGAGGUGUCGUGGGACAUACUUUGUAAAACAACAAAGAAGAUAAAAACGCUCGUUGGAUCAGAGGUUAAUUGGCCCGGGUCUGUCUACG